rnacentral:rRNA from 1 species
CACGUAGGGUGCAAGCGUUGUCCGGAAUCACUGGGCGUAAAGCGCGUGUAGGCGGCCUUCUUAGUCUGGUGUGAAAGCCCGGGGCUCACCCCCGGAAGUGCAUUGGAUACUGGAAGGCUGGAGUACCGGAGAGGAGGGUGGAAUUCCUGGUGUAGCGGUGAAAUGCGUAGAUAUCAGGAGGAACACCGGUGGCGAAGGCGGCCCUCUGGACGGAUACUGACGCUGAGACGCGACAGCGUGGGGAGCAAACAGG